rnacentral:lncRNA from 1 species
GGGGGGGCUACGUCAGCUCUCCCCUCACUGACGCAGCUUUGGGCCCCCCACGCUGACUCAGCCGGAAACAGGCCCCCUGAGGGGCGGAGACCCAAUGGUCAGAGGCGCGGGUCCCAGUGGGAGCCAGGGCUGGGCAGGGCCCCUGGGGGGCCGUUGAAGGGGUGGCCAUGACAGACCUAGAAAGGGAAGAGAAAAAACUUACCUGAGGAGAUGAGGUCAUGUCCCACUGUGGGGGGCUGUGACCUCAUCUCCUGAGAGACCUGAGCAGUUCCCCCAGUGGGGUGGAUGGGGAGGGGGAGCCUCAGCUUUCAUUCAAGCCCCAAGUCCCCCCCGCAGUGCAGCGUAGUCUGGAGGCCAGCAUGGGGGUCUGCAGAGAUGUUUGGAAGUCCUUAUCCCUGUGCUCAGUCGGAUCCCAUCUUUCCUUGCCAUCUCCAUUCUGGGGAGGAGACUCCGGGGGGAAUUUGGGUUGAUGUCUCUGUCUCUCCCUUUUGGGGUUGUGAAUCCUGGGCCACCCUGCCCCCCACCCCAUUUCUCUGGUGCCACCAACUGCAUUGCUAUGUUCCCCAUGCUGUGUGUCCCUCUCCUGCCUGGACACCUGUCUUGUUCCCAUCUCUGUGUGACAUCCUUCAGUUCUCCAGCACCUUGGCCCUGCUCUAGGGUGUCCCUGUCCCCCUCGCUCCCUUUCACCCACUCACCACUGUCUGUUGGGCUCAUCUCUGUCUCUCUGGACUGUUAGUGAAAUGGAGAACGGCAGUAGCGGUGGUUGACAUUUGUCCAGUGCUACUUUGUGCUUUAUGUGGGUGGAUGAGCUCACAUUAUCUCUGUGUGGUCAAGGGUGGAGGUGCCCUCAUUACCCCUGCUUCACACAGGAGGAAACUGAGGCACAGAGAGCCCGCCUCUGCACAACACCUGGCUCUGUCUCUGGUCUUUUCUAGACCAGUGUCUCCCUGCCUUUGUCAUGUCCCCUUGCUGAGUUCCCCCAUCUCCACACCCUCUUCUUCUCUCUGUCUCCUUGGCUCUGGGUCGCUGCCUGCCCAGUGUCCCGCACUCUCUCUCCUGCAGCUGCCUCCUGUCUGCGGACCUCGAGGUCCUGGUCCUCUUUCCCCUGGACUCUCUGGGAACACGGACAGAGGACUGAGGGUCCCUGCAGUGGUCUUGCCUUUCACACGCUCCUCUGCCUCGUGGCUGAUUCCCUCAGGCUCUGGGCGCUCAUUCCUGGUGUCCCCUCAUUCCUGGUGUCCCCUCAUUCCUGGUGUCUGCUGCAUCACAGUUUCCCUGUCUGCUCCCGCCAGCCUCCAUUCCCGCCCUGACCUCUCCACCUCCCGGUAUGUCUCUCUCCUCUGUCUCCAUCUCUGUCCUGGUGCCCCAUCUCUCUCUCCGUCCCUGACUUUCCUCGCAGCUCCAUCUCCCCAGGCCUGUGGCUUGCCUCUCCUGCCCUUCCUGGUCCAGCCAGACCCCCACCCACAGCGGGCCCCAGCUCUUGAGCCACAUGUGUCUGCCCUGGCGGUGGAGGUGGAGGGAGGGGACGCCAAUGACCUCACCAGCCCCUCUCCGACCACCCCCCCCUUCACUUUUCAACUUUUCCAACUUUUUCUUCCGUGCCCUCCUCCGAGCAAGGCGGUGAAGCCCUGCUAGGCAGCCGGCUCGUCUGAAUGGAAAAGGCAGGAGGGAGGGUGAGUCAGGAUGUGUCA